rnacentral:rRNA from 1 species
GUUUGAUCCUGGCUCAGGACGAACGCUGGCGGCGUGCUUAACACAUGCAAGUCGAGCGGAAAGGCCUCUUCGGGGGUACUCGAGCGGCGAACGGGUGAGUAACACGUGAGUAACCUGCCCUGGACUUUGGGAUAACCCUCGGAAACGGGGGCUAAUACCGGAUAUGACGUGCCGCCGCAUGGUGGUGGGUGGAAAGAUUUUUUGGUCUGGGAUGGGCUCGCGGCCUAUCAGCUUGUUGGUGGGGUGAUGGCCUACCAAGGCGACGACGGGUAGCCGGCCUGAGAGGGCGACCGGCCACACUGGGACUGAGACACGGCCCAGACUCCUACGGGAGGCAGCAGUGGGGAAUAUUGCACAAUGGGCGCAAGCCUGAUGCAGCGACGCCGCGUGAGGGAUGACGGCCUUCGGGUUGUAAACCUCUUUCAGCAGGGACGAAGCGUGAGUGACGGUACCUGCAGAAGAAGCGCCGGCCAACUACGUGCCAGCAGCCGCGGUAAGACGUAGGGCGCGAGCGUUGUCCGGAUUUAUUGGGCGUAAAGAGCUCGUAGGCGGCUUGUCGCGUCGACUGUGAAAACCCGCGGCUCAACUGCGGGCCUGCAGCCGAUACGGGCAGGCUAGAGUUCGGUAGGGGAGACUGGAAUUCCUGGUGUAGCGGUGAAAUGCGCAGAUAUCAGGAGGAACACCGGUGGCGAAGGCGGGUCUCUGGGCCGAUACUGACGCUGAGGAGCGAAAGCGUGGGGAGCGAACAGGAUUAGAUACCCUGGUAGUCCACGCUGUAAACGUUGGGCGCUAGGUGUGGGGGACCUCUCCGGUUCUCUGUGCCGCAGCUAACGCAUUAAGCGCC